rnacentral:rRNA from 1 species
ACGGGGUGCAGCAGGCGCGAAAACUUUGCAAUGUGCGAAAGCACGACAAGGUUAAUCCGAGUGGUUUCUGCUAAAGAAACCUUUUGUCAGUCCUAGAAACACUAACGAAUAAGGGGUGGGCAAGUUCUGGUGUCAGCCGCCGCGGUAAAACCAGCACCUCAAGUGGUCAGGAUGAUUAUUGGGCCUAAAGCAUCCGUAGCUCGUUUUGUAAGUUUUCGGUUAAAUCCAUGCGCUUAACGUAUGGGCUGCCGGGAAUACUGCAUAACUAGGAAGUGGGAGAGGUAGACGGUACUCGGUAGGAAGGGGUAAAAUCCUUUGAUCCAUUGAUGACCACCUGUGGCGAAGGCGGUCUACCAGAACACGUUCGACGGUGAGGGAUGAAAGCUGGGGGAGCAAACCGGAUUAGAUACCCGGGUAGUCCCAGCUGUAAACUAUGCAAACUCAGUGAUGCAUUGGCUUGUAGCCAAUGCAGUGCUGCAGGGAAGCCGUUAAGUUUGCCGCCUGGGAAGUACGUACGCAAGUAUGAAACUUAAAGGAAUUGGCGGGGGAGCAC